UACAGAGGUGGCAAGCGUUGUUCGGAAUUACUGGGCGUAAAGGGUUCGUAGGUGGCCAACUAAGUCAGACGUGAAAUCCCUCAGCUUAACUGGGGAACUGCGUCUGAUACUGGAUGGCUUGAGUGUAGGAGAGGAAUGCGGAAUUCCAGGUGUAGCGGUGAAAUGCGUAGAUAUCUGGAGGAACACCGGUGGCGAAGGCGGCAUUCUGGACUACAACUGACACUGAGGAACGAAAGCCAGGGGAGCAAACGGG
rnacentral:rRNA from 1 species